rnacentral:rRNA from 1 species
GUGGGGAAUAUUGCACAAUGGGCGCGAGCCUGAUGCAGCCAUGCCGCGUGUGUGAAGAAGGCCUUCGGGUUGUAAAGCACUUUCAGCGAGGAGGAAGGGUUCAGUGUUAAUAGCACUGUUCAUUGACGUUACUCGCAGAAGAAGCACCGGCUAACUCCGUGCCAGCAGCCGCGGUAAUACGGAGGGUGCAAGCGUUAAUCGGAAUUACUGGGCGUAAAGCGCACGCAGGCGGUUUGUUAAGUCAGAUGUGAAUCCCGC